rnacentral:rRNA from 1 species
AUUGAACGCUGGCGGCAUGCCUUACACAUGCAAGUCGAACGGCAGCGCGGGGCAACCUGGCGGCGAGUGGCGAACGGGUGAGUAACAUAUCGGAACAUACCCUAGAGUGGGGGAUAACGUAGCGAAAGUUACGCUAAUACCGCAUACGCACUAAGGUGGAAAGUGGGGGAUUCGCAAGAACCUCAUGCUCAUGGAGUGGCCGAUAUCUGAUUAGCUAGUUGGUGAGGUAAAGGCUCACCAAGGCGACGAUCAGUAGCUGGUUUGAGAGAACGACCAGCCACACUGGAACUGAGACACGGUCCAGACUCCUACGGGAGGCAGCAGUGGGGAAUUUUGGACAAUGGGGGCAACCCUGAUCCAGCAAUGCCGCGUGAGUGAAGAAGGCCUCGGUUGUAAGACGUCUUUUGUUCUAGGGAAGAAACGGUAGAGGUUCUUAAUAAAGUACUUAGUCUAAUAGACGGUACC